UACAGAGGUCUCAAGCGUUGUUCGGAAUCAUUGGGCGUAAAGGGCGCGUAGGUGGUUCUGUAUGUCUACCGUGAAAGCGUACGGCUCAACUGUAUUUUGUCGGUGGAAACUGCAGGACUUGAGGCUGGGAGGGGCUGGUGGAAUUCCCUGUGUAGCGGUGAAAUGCGUAGAGAUGGGGAGAACACUCGUGGCGAAGGCGGCCAGCUAGACCAGUUCUGACACUGAGGCGCGACAGCGUGGGGAGCAAACAGG
rnacentral:rRNA from 1 species